rnacentral:rRNA from 1 species
UGACCUCAAAUCAGGUAGGACUACCCGCUGAACUUAAGCAUAUCAAUAAGCCGGAGGAA